rnacentral:ncRNA from 1 species
UUCCUAGGGGGGCCUCGUCUAAGAGGCUGAGAUACCGAUGGCUCCGCGGCUUGACCAAGGAGCGGCGCGGUGACCCUUUGAACCUGAUCCGGAUCAUGCCGGCGUAGGGAAAGGA